GGCACAUGGUGAGAACAAUGGAUGAAGCACAUGGUGAGAACAAUGGAUGGUGGCCAUUUUAACUCACAGACACUGUGUGGACUUUUCUACACGGUGCCAUCUCGCCGGUAUUUGGUGCACAGAGACAGCAUGCAGUGGUUUUGGACUAUACAACAGGGGACACAUUAUACAGUAAUUGUUUGUCAUAUAGCCUGUAUAUGUUUUGCGUAAUCUGCAUUAAACCGUAUCUUCCAAACUACUGAACGGAUCUGGGUGAAUUUUGGAUAUGUGGUUCACCCAGAUCCCCCGGUUCUGAGGAUAUACUAUUUUUAUGGGGUUAUUGCAUGUUUUGGGGUCCCUGUGAUAUGUUUUAUGAUACUGUAUUUUUCCUGCUUGUGAUAAUUAUGUUAACCCAUUGUGUGCCAUAAUUAGAUCACAGGCAGAGGGGAGGAUUUUGUGUAUAAUUGCU